CUUGACAAUGGCUUGAACAUGAUCAAGGGAGUAGCGGAGAGAGCACAAGAAUGCAACGUAAUCGUCAGUUGAGAUAUCAUAAACGAGGCCAGGAGAGAGGGCUCUGUGUGGGUCUACGAGCCAUGAGCCCAUGGGUUGGAGGGUGCACCAGCAACGCUCCCGGCAUCCCGCAGAGGGGAGUUGGUGUUGUCAACCACGUAGGCGGUGGUCAUGAGGGCUGAUUUGAUUGCGCUUGGGCUCCAUCUUGGAUGUGCAGCCUUUAGCAAUGCAGCUACUCCACUGAUGUGUGGGCAAGACAUGGAUGUNGAUGUUGAAUUGAGUCUUCCUGGUGUCCUUCUCCAAUCCAAUGGGUCCUACAGCCUCUGACCAUGCGGCUAAGAUGUUGACUCCAGGGCCAAUCAGAUCAG
rnacentral:misc_RNA from 1 species